rnacentral:lncRNA from 1 species
AGAAAAACAUUCAAGUCAUUCACCUCUACAAUCCACAAUUCACAAAACCUGUGCAGUUUAUAAUCAUACAUCAUGUCACUAGAUGAUUCUUAAAAUCCAAAAGCAACUUAACUAAACCAUAACUAUAUCAUAAAUCCAUAAGCGCGGCAAUUAAUGCAAUCACAAAACCAACAUAUACUACAUGUUUAUAUCAGUACACAGUUUAGACUUAACAUUUCCAAAAUCCUGACGUAAGAGGUACUUAUCAAAUAUUUACAAGAUACAUCAAUCUAGAUUUGUCAUUGAUAUUUCAUUACACCCAAAAAGAACUUAUACAACAUCAACCUAUCAAGUACAAAAUAUUUGCCCCAAAAUCUUCUAGUCUUCCACUACCUCAACCCAAUUUACACAUUUUAGUAAGCGAUAAGCUAUC